ACGAACGCUGGCGGCGUGCUUAACACAUGCAAGCUGAACGGGGCAUUGUAGAGUAGCAAUACAAAACAAUGUUCAGUAGCGGACGGGUGAGUAAAAGACGAGAAGCUGUCGGUCAGAGGGGGAUAACGUUUAGAAAUGAACGCUAAUACCGCGUAAGCCUAAGGGUGAAAGCAGAAAUGCGCUGACAUGAGGUGCUCGUAGCCUAUCAGGUAGUUGGUGGGGUAAUGGCCUACCAAGCCAAUGACGGGUAGCCGGCCUGAGAGGGUGAACGGCCACACUGGAACUGAGACACGGUCCAGACUCCUACGGGAGGCAGCAGUGGGGAAUAUUGGGCAAUGGAUGAAAGUCUGACCCAGCGACGCCGCGUGAAUGACGAAGGUCUUCGGAUUGUAAAGUUCUUUUAUACGGGAAGAGUAGAGGACGGUACCGUAUGAAUAAGUCCCGGCUAACUACGUGCCAGCAGCCGCGGUAAUACGUAGGGGACGAGCGUUGUCCGGAAUUACUGGGCGUAAAGGGCAUGUAGGCUGUUUAGCAAGUCAGUAGUAAAAUGCUGAGGCUUAACCUCAGCAAGCUAUUGAGACUGUUAGACUGGAGUACUGAAGAGGCAAGGGGAAUUCCCAGUGUAGCGGUGAAAUGCGUAGAUAUUGGGAAGAACACCGGUGGCGAAGGCGACUUGCUGGUCAGUAACUGACGCUGAGGUGCGAAAGCCAGGGGAGCAAACGGGAUUAGAUACCCCGGCCGCACUAGUGAUUAACGAUGAAUGCUAGGUGUGUGAGUAGAGAUACUGACGUGCCGCAGUUAACGCGAUAAGCAUUCCGCCUGGGGACUACGGCCGCAAGGUUGAAACUCAAAGGAAUUGACGGGGGCCCGCACAAGCGGUGGAGCACGUGGUUUAAUUCGAUGCAAACCGAAGAACCUUACCUGGGUUUGACAUGUUAGUGGUAAGAGGCUGAAAGGCAGAUGACUUAACCUUCGGGUUAAGAGCUAACACAGGUGCUGCAUGGCUGUCGUCAGCUCGUGUCGUGAGAUGUUGGGUCAAGUCCCGCAACGAGCGCAACCCCUGCAUUUAGUUGCUACCGAGAGAGACGAGCACUCUAGAUGGACUGCCGCCGAUAAGGUGGAGGAAGGUGGGGACGACGUCAAGUCAUCAUGGCCCUUAUGUCCAGGGCGACACACGUGCUACAAUGGCCGGUACAAAGGGAAGCGAGCCCGAGAGGGUAAGCGGAUCCCAUAAAGCCGGUCGCAGUUCGGAUUGAGGUCUGCAACCCGACCUCAUGAAGCUGGAAUCGCUAGUAAUCGCGCAUCAGCAUGGCGCGGUGAAUACGUUCCCGGGCCUUGUACACACCGCCCGUCACACCAUCCGAGUUGGAGGUACCCGAAGCCGGUAGUCUAACCGCAAGGAGGACGCUGUCGAAGGUACGUUUAGUGAGGAGGGUG
rnacentral:rRNA from 1 species